UAUCAUGGCCGGGCCGCCUUCUGUUUAUUAUUCGGUAUUGUAAUUGCUUGUUAGGGUAUGGGGUAGGUGAGGGCUGAUUAGUAAGGAGAUAGGAUAGCAUAGUUCAUUUUAGGCUGGAAAUAAGGUUUUGCUAGACUAAUAUAAGUUGUUUUUUGUAGUUUAGGUUACGAUAGGAUAGGCUACGAUAGUUCAUUUUAGGCUAGUUUACUUUGCUAGGCUGAAAAUAAGGUUUUGCUAGACUAAUAUAAGUUGUUUUUUGUAGUUUAGGUUACGAUAGGAUAGGCUAGGAUAGUUUAUUUUAGGCUAGUUUACUUUUCUAGGCUGGAAAUAAGGUUUUGCUAGACUAAUAUAAGUUGUUUUUUGUAGUUUAGGUUACGAUAGGAUAGGCUACGAUAGUUCAUUUUAGGCUAGUUUGGUUUGCUAGGCUGGAAAUAAGGUUUCGGUUGACUAAUAUAAGUUGUUUUUUGUAGUUUAGGUUACGAUAGGAUAGGAUAGGAUAGUUCAUUUUAGGCUAGUUUACUUUGCUAGGCUGAAAAUAAAGUUUUGCUAGACUAAUAUAAGUUGUUUUUUGUAGUUUAGGUUACGAUAGGAUAGGAUAGGAUAGUUCAUUUUAGGCUAGUUUAGUUUGCUAGGCUGGAAAUAAGGUUUUGCUAGACUAAUAUAAGUUGUUUUUUGUAGUUUAGGUUACGUUAGGCUAGACUAGGUUAUAUUAGGCUAGGUUACGUUAGGCUAGACUAGGUUAUAUUAGGCUAGGUUACGUUAGGCCAGACUAGGUUGCAUCAGGUCAGGUCAGGUCAGGUUAGGAGUUUGUUAGUCUAAUAAUGACAUUG